rnacentral:lncRNA from 1 species
GUAGGCGCACAAGCUGGAGGCGGGGGCGGACCACGGCCCUCAGUUGCAGCUGCAGUUGCCGCCGCAAAAUGCCGCUCCAUAAGCCCUUGGAGCUGCUCAAAUCGACUCUCCUGGCGCUGUACAAUGCCGGUCAAUGCCGACACCUGCGCCCGUAGUUCCUGCACUUCACUAGAUCCGGCUUCCUCGGGCACCUCAGAAGAGGGUGCCGGAACGGACCUACGCACGUAGCGUCUUGGGGACAUUGUUCCUGCAACGCAACAACCGGGUUAGUCAUCUAACCCACUUAACUCCGUCGCAUACACUAUAUUACGCGACUCAACUCCGCCAUAAGCGGACGUACACCAUUGUAUUAGUCUUAACUCUUAGCGUCGUGUUGUCGGCCGCCAACACAAACUCCUCGAGCUCAGAAACUAACACUGCUUGGAUCUAUCUCUAGCCACACUAGAGAUCUAUGCUCGAUCCGACCCAAUCGGAUUCUUCCUCAACCGAUUUAUGUUUACGUUUCUCUCACGUACCUAUACAACCCUAGGGUUCACCGUCCUAAGGUCUAUUAGGUCCAUCCUAGACUCUCUCUUUACUUGCUCUUAAUAGCUCUGAUACCAACAACUAUCUGUCACGCCCCAAAACCGCUACCAAUUUGGCACGGUUCGGGCGCGUCGGACGGACCGCAAAACGGACAGCAUCUCUCCUGUCCGCCCAAGGCCAAGCAACCAGAUCAUGUACAGUUAAGCGCCCAGGGAAUGCUUAAAUAACAUACAUGAUCGAUACGAUGCACACAAGUGCAUUAUAACUAAGAGCAAGAACCACAAGUGAAUGUACAAGUGUAUAAAGAGAGAUAGUCUAACUAUUACAACCAUUCAACAUUUACAUCAUUUGAAUAUAUUACAUUUCCAUCUUCCAAAAUAUAAAUACAUGUUUUUCUCCAAAAUACAAGUAGCUCUCCAAUGACUAUCCGAAACAUCAUCUAGUACACGAGGGUACUCUAAUGCAUAAAGGAAAAGCUACUAGGCUCACUUAGGGAGCUAUGCCCUUGCCGCGAUCUUCGCUCGGCUCGCCUCUGUGUGUACCUGUACCCCAAAACCACACGGGGUGAGAACUAUAUGAAUAUAGUUCCCAGUGGGUUCGACCGCCGACGCCGCCGGUUUUCCCACUAGAUUUAAGCUGACACAGAUAGAGAGAUAGAUAGAUAUAUAGAAAAUGAACUGCAACUACUCUAUCAUGCCAUCAAUGAUAAUAGUGCAUGCAACGACUGCUAUCAUGCUAGUAUCAUGUCAUGAGUAUAUAAGGGUGCAUAGUAAUGUAAACUACAACAUACACUAUGUCUACUCAAGGUAAUAAUGCAAGUCUACUAUGCAUUUCAUGUUUAUUACCAAAUCUACUUCGUUGACCCGUAGGUUAACCCUCGACUCACUCUCAAUCUCAUAGGUGAGGAAAAGCUGCACUCGCACUACGAGACCGUCUGCGAGACAACUACGUCUGCCCCUAGUGAAGUACCCCGGAGACUCGUGCCUUGGUGGAGCGACCACCGACAAGCAAAACAGACUAGUGAGUAUGAUCCAAUCCUCACAAGAGGAUACCCUGUCUACUAGGGUCAAUGUGCCUCUGCUGCACAAUCAUGAUAUAUAAUCAAUGUUGGGACCUCUACUAUCUCUAGGUUCAUGUCAAGCUUACUACACUAGACUCGAUGCAACUCGUUCAGUCACUGUAGUAAAUGUCUCAAUUAUUCUACAUGCCACUCGUUCAUGUCAUAGUGCUUCUACCACACUAGUUCAUUGCCACUCUACUAGGCUAUGUCCAAGUUCGGCUCUUUAUGCCGCUAUAGGAUUCUAUGUCACAAGACCCAAUCCUCAUGCCAUCCUAGUCCACGUGUCAAGCUCACCCCGCUACACUACCAAGAAAGCAUGCAAGGAAAUGGAAAUGUACAACUACUAUUCCUAUAGCGCAAUAUGGUCAACAUAAUUAACUUAGACAUAAAAAGAAACCCGAAUGCUUCGGGACGACACCCCCCACCUUUUGUGUAUACAGAAGCUCUAGAAAUGCAAUUCGGCGUUCUUUACGACGAAGCCUCGGUCUCCUUGGUCAAAAUAAUGCUCAAUUGGCCUUAUUUUGCCGAUAGCUCUUGACCCGCUCGACGAAUCGAAAUUCCGACUUCGCCCUCGCGUUUCGUUACCUAGCAAUUAGGUUUACAUGGUCUCAAAUGAGAUCAAUCUCAUACUUUGCCAAAAACCCUAUUUUGGUGCCCUAGGGUUAGCAUCAAGCUAUACCCAUCUCAAAACCCUAGAUUCUAGCUCCAAUCCUACCAUUCAUGGUGCUAAAGAUCCAUUUGACCCCAUCCAAAGAGCUAACACCCAAAAAUCCUAAAUUUCACAAGCUAGGGUUAGAAGCUUACCUCUAGGGUUAGCUCCAAGAGAGAAGAGAGGAAGAGGGCGAGGUCCAAAGCCUUCCUUUUCUUGAUCUCCUUCUUCUUCUCCUUCCUUUUCUUCCUUCUUUUCCUUCUCUUUUCUUCUUCUUCUUCUUCUUAUCUUCUAGAGAGAGAAAGAGCAAGAGAGUGUGAGAAAGAGAGGGAGUAGAAUGAGAGAGUGAGAGGGAGAGAGGGACUACAAGCCCUCAUAUUGUAACAAUAUCCAACUGGCCCCCUCUACUUUUCAUCUCCUGCACAGCACUUACUGGGCAUUCUGCGCGCGGAGGGACCGGUCUCCCCGACUUGGGACCAGUCCCCGAGAGCUUCAGCUCGGGUCACGCGUUCGGGUACCGGUCCCUCCCAGAGAGACCGGUCCUCGGGAGACCUGUUCCUUCCUGAGAGACCGGUUCCCGAGAGCUGGGAUUUCAGGACUUAGCCAAAUUUUGUCUUUUCUCGCUAGGAUCACGUUCGGGGACCGGUCUCUCCCUGCCAGGGACCGGUUGCCUCAAGAAUCCCCGCAACCCCAGCCAAUGGGACCGGGGUCCCUCCCUGCCAGGGACCAGUCCCCAAGAGCAGUUUUGCUCCAGUGCAGGUUUUGCACUAUUUGCUCCCGUGGACUCUUUUCCAAAGCACUUUUGGUGAUUUUAACAUCUUUGGCCUUUCCAAAGCACACCUACACUGUAAUAUACCGAAAAUUCGGAAAAUAAAUAUCGAACUUUAGUCAAAUUGACCAAAAUGCGAAGACGGAACACUUCGGAAAGUCCGAAGUUGUUAAAAUGAGUAAAAGUGAGUUGUGGAAGGUUUUCGAGAGCUAAAGAAUCAGAUUCUGCGAAACUGCAGAUUUUCAGCUCUCGGGGACCGGUCCCUGGUGGGAGAGACCGGUCUCCGAACGCGUAUGAAAUGAGACAGCCGAAAAAUCGGCUAAGUCCUGGAAGAUUAGCUCUCGGGAACCGGUCUCUGCCUGAGAGACCGGUCCCCCAGAGACCGGUCCCAUCAGAGAGAGACCGGUCGCAUCGCGCGCAGCGGCUCUGGCUGCGCAGGGUGGACGUUCGGGAACCGGUCCCUGCUCGGGGAGACCGGUCUCUGCCUGCGAAAACUGCCCAGUCCAGGCAGUGCACAGAGAUAAAAGUUGAGGGGUUUAUUUGCAUUUUGGCAACCCAAUAGCUAUGUAUGAGGCCAAAUGAGAUAUUUCUCUCAUUCCUCACCCUCUCACACUCUUUUCUCUCCCUCUCUCUCUCUAGAAGACAAAAGAGAAGAAGAAGAAAGGAAGAAAAGAAGGAGAAGAAGGAGAAGAAGGUGAAGAAGAAGAUCAAGGAGCAAAGGAGCUUCAUCUUCUUCCUCUCUAGUGCAAGAAAAGGAAGCUUACAAGGUAAGCUUUGAACCCUAAUGUAGUAAAACCCUAGAAAUGGGUUUGAAUGAACCUAGAAAUGGUUUUUAAUGGAAUGUCUAGUAGUUUUGAAGCUUUCUUUUGCUUCUAAAGAGAUCAAAACCUAGUUUUGCUAUAUAGGUGAGCUUGGACCACCUCUAAUGGUGAAAUCCAAACUAGGGUUUUGGAAAGCCUAAGAAUGGUUCUAAUGGAUUAUUUAGAGUAUAAUGAAGCUACUUUUGCUUCCCAAUGAGAUCAAACCCUAGGUUUUGAUAUACAUUGGAGCUAGGGCACCCAAAUUGGGGCUUUUGCUCAUGAGGGUUUCUAAGUGCAAUUGACCCUCUAAAAACCUAAUUGGGGGUAUUUCCGACGCGUUGGUGCACUCGGAUUAACGUUACGAAAAGCCGAUGAAAAGUUAUGGGCAAAAUGGCCUAAGUUGGGUUUGUUUCGCCGCAGGUAAAGAACAAAGGAUCUAAAAAUCCCGAGAAAAUCGUCGGAGCACCUAAAGAGACCUACAAGGUGGGUGGUGCUUCUCAAACUCAUUGAACUUCUCUCUAUGCCUAAUGUGUCAUUCAUUUGAGCAUAUAUGUAUAUAUUGUUGCAUGCAUAUUAGGGUAAAGUAAUGAUGAAAAUGUAAUGAUGCAUGAUUGCGAGUACAACUUGUAUAAUAUGAUGAAUGAGAACUAUGUGAUCUCGAAAACCCUAUGUGUAUGCAUGAGAAAAAGUGAGCACCCAAAGUGAGCAAAAGAACAGAGUGACACCAUGACAUAGAUCGAGUGGCAUUGAAAACGUAAAGUAAAGUGACACUAGAGUUAGUGUGAGCCAAAGAACCAAUGUAAUGUAAAGAAUGAUGAAAAUGACAAGGUUUAAAGUUAAAGUAAUGUGGGGUAUUAAGAACACGAAGUGCUAGAGGUAGCCAGAAGUAAAGAAUGUAAAGAAUGUAAUUGCUAGAGUUAGCAAAAGUAAAAGAAAUGUAAAGAAUGUGAUUGCAUGAGUUUGCAACAUAAAGUGAUGCAAAGAACACUAGAGCUAGUGUAAAGUCAAGAUUGAACUUAUAAAUCCUUUGAGUUAAGGAUAUGAUCAUACUUGCUAUGAGUUCCGUGCUCGAGGGCGGUCGCUCCCCCUCGGGCGAUGCGCUCCGGAGUUAUGCAUCCGGGUUGGAGUAGACCCGUAAGGACGGUCCUAGCUGGUGAGUUCCUGCGAUGAUGGACUUAAUGUGAAGCAAGUCAAUGUGGCGAAACCCCCGGGUUAGCCUUGAGAUUAAAGAACAAAGAGCAAAGAACAAAGUGUAAAGAAUAAAGAACAAAGAGUAAAGUGUAAAGAACAAAGAACUUGCAUAAUCUGCAUAUGUUAAUGUUGAGCAUAAUCCUUGCUUUUGUUCAGGCAUAUUAGCAUCAUGUUGUAGAUUGGUUACUAUAUUUCAGCUUAUCCUUUCUAUUAUGCCGAGUUAGUCCUAGUGGGAAAGUCGGUGAUGUUGAGGCCGAACCCACUGGGAACUUUGUUGUAGUUCUCACCCCACUAUUUCCACAGAGCCGGGACCGAGCGAGCCGGCGAGCGACCGAGGUAAAGGUAUCGCGCCUUAGUCAGAGGCCACCAAGGUUGGGUUACAUUUUGUUAGUAGCUAUCCCAUGUUCAUCUUUGUACUUGAUGAUUAGUAAUGUAAAGAAAAGAAUGUAAAGCUUGUUCUGAGGUAAAUGUGAUGUAAGAAAGAAAUGAUAGAAUUAUGUAAUGAAAUGCAAAGAAUCCUAAGUGUAAGAGAUGGAUGCAAUGUAUAUGAUCUAAAAUGAAUCAUAUUACUUGUGAAUGUUUAGUUUCCUUUUUCUUUCACUAAUGGCUAUUGCUUACCCUCGUGUAAGCCGUUUGUGUAUGUUUCCGCUAGUGCUUUUCUUUAUUGAUGAAAAUGUACAUGUGAUGAGCCUUGGGCGGAUAGGGGAAACUCUGUCCGUUCGGCGUCUGUUUGACGUGCUCGGGUCGGGCCAAAUUGGCAUCGGUCCCGGGGCGUGACAUACACGACCCUUGGUCGAUUUUGCAUGAAGUCUAACUCUCGCAUUUCGAGAAUUCACUUCCUCACAACCCAAUAUAGAGUAGGGCGUUGAGGGUAAUCAACAUCACCCAAUAUAGAGUAAAAUGCCGAGGGUAAUCGAUCGACAUCAUCCAAUAUGACACUUUCGAAAGAUCACGACUUAUGUCUUAGUUACACUAUA